GAUGAACGCUGGCGGCGUGCCUAAUACAUGCCAGUCGAGCGAACAGACGAGGAGCUUGCUCCUUCGACGUUAGCGGCGGACGGGUGAGUAACACGUAGGUAACCUACCUAUAAGACUGGGAUAACUUCGGGAAACCGGAGCUAAUACCGGAUAAUAUUUCGAACCGCAUGGUUCGAUAGUGAAAGAUGGCUUUGCUAUCACUUAUAGAUGGACCUGCGCCGUAUUAGCUAGUUGGUAAGGUAACGGCUUACCAAGGCAACGAUACGUAGCCGACCUGAGAGGGUGAUCGGCGACACUGGAACUGAGACACGGUCCAGACUCCUACGGGAGGCAGCAGUAGGGAAUCUUCCGCAAUGGGCGAAAGCCUGACGGAGCAACGCCGCGUGAGUGAUGAAGGUCUUCGGAUCGUAAAACUCUGUUAUUAGGGAAGAACAAACGUGUAAGUAACUGUGCACGUCUUGACGGUACCUAAUCAGAAAGCCACGGCUAACUACGUG
rnacentral:rRNA from 1 species